GGAUGAACGCUGGCGGCGUGCCUAAUACAUGCAAGUCGAGCGAACGGACGAGAAGCUUGCUUCUCUGAUGUUAGCGGCGGACGGGUGAGUAACACGUGGAUAACCUACCUAUAAGACUGGGAUAACUUCGGGAAACCGGAGCUAAUACCGGAUAAUAUUUUGAACCGCAUGGUUCAAAAGUGAAAGACGGUCUUGCUGUCACUUAUAGAUGGAUCCGCGCUGCAUUAGCUAGUUGGUAAGGUAACGGCUUACCAAGGCAACGAUGCAUAGCCGACCUGAGAGGGUGAUCGGCCACACUGGAACUGAGACACGGUCCAGACUCCUACGGGAGGCAGCAGUAGGGAAUCUUCCGCAAUGGGCGAAAGCCUGACGGAGCAACGCCGCGUGAGUGAUGAAGGUCUUCGGAUCGUAAAACUCUGUUAUUAGGGAAGAACAUAUGUGUAAGUAACUGUGCACAUCUUGACGGUACCUAAUCAGAAAGCCACGGCUAACUACGUGCCAGCAGCCGCGGUAAUACGUAGGUGGCAAGCGUUAUCCGGAAUUAUUGGGCGUAAAGCGCGCGUAGGCGGUUUUUUAAGUCUGAUGUGAAAGCCCACGGCUCAACCGUGGAGGGUCAUUGGAAACUGGAAAACUUGAGUGCAGAAGAGGAAAGUGGAAUUCCAUGUGUAGCGGUGAAAUGCGCAGAGAUAUGGAGGAACACCAGUGGCGAAGGCGACUUUCUGGUCUGUAACUGACGCUGAUGUGCGAAAGCGUGGGGAUCAAACAGGAUUAGAUACCCUGGUAGUCCACGCCGUAAACGAUGAGUGCUAAGUGUUAGGGGGUUUCCGCCCCUUAGUGCUGCAGCUAACGCAUUAAGCACUCCGCCUGGGGAGUACGACCGCAAGGUUGAAACUCAAAGGAAUUGACGGGGACCCGCACAAGCGGUGGAGCAUGUGGUUUAAUUCGAAGCAACGCGAAGAACCUUACCAAAUCUUGACAUCCUUUGACAACUCUAGAGAUAGAGCUUUCCCCUUCGGGGGACAAAGUGACAGGUGGUGCAUGGUUGUCGUCAGCUCGUGUCGUGAGAUGUUGGGUUAAGUCCCGCAACGAGCGCAACCCUUAAGCUUAGUUGCCAUCAUUAAGUUGGGCACUCUAAGUUGACUGCCGGUGACAAACCGGAGGAAGGUGGGGAUGACGUCAAAUCAUCAUGCCCCUUAUGAUUUGGGCUACACACGUGCUACAAUGGACAAUACAAAGGGCAGCGAAACCGCGAGGUCAAGCAAAUCCCAUAAAGUUGUUCUCAGUUCGGAUUGUAGUCUGCAACUCGACUACAUGAAGCUGGAAUCGCUAGUAAUCGUAGAUCAGCAUGCUACGGUGAAUACGUUCCCGGGUCUUGUACACACCGCCCGUCACACCACGAGAGUUUGUAACACCCGAAGCCGGUGGAGUAACCUUUUAGGAGCUAGCCGUCGAAGGUGGGACAAAUGAUUGGGGUGAAGUCGUAACAAG
rnacentral:rRNA from 1 species